UUUCUUUAUGGACAGCCACAUCUUUCUGUACAGGACACUCUCCUGCCAUUGUCUCUGGUUUGUGUGUCGUAUGGCUAUUUUGUAUGCAAGAGUCCUGGUCCUUUCCCAGGAUUGCCUUGCAGGCUGUACCCCAUGGACCACCCUUCACCACCAGUCAUGGGCUAUAGGCCACAUCCCCCUCCUCCACCUACUCUAUUUGUUAAGAUGACCUGAACUGGACGAGUGGCUGGUAAAGUAUAUUCAUCUUCUUCAUGAUUGACUUUGUGGCAAUGAUGUAGAGACAGUUGUGAGUCUUGGCAAUCCAACUACAAACUGCCUGAGGACACUGUAGCAUGUCUCAAGUUUCUCAGGACAUACAUACAAUGGGCAGUGUCAUGUCCCUGUAAUACAGUGAGCUAUACGUUUCUCUUGUCAAAUGAAAGAGGAUUUUUUACACAAAAGCAGAUG
rnacentral:lncRNA from 1 species